rnacentral:rRNA from 1 species
UACGAAGGGUGCAAGCGUUGUUCGGAUUUAUUGGGCGUAAAGCGCACGUAGGCGGCUUUGUAAGUUAGAGGUGAAAGCCCGGGGCUCAACUCCGGAAUUGCCUUUAAGACUGCAUCGCUUGAAUCAUGGAGAGGUGAGUGGAAUUCCGAGUGUAGAGGUGAAAUUCGUAGAUAUUCGGAAGAACACCAGUGGCGAAGGCGACUCACUGGACAUGUAUUGACGCUGAGGUACGAAAGCGUGGGGAGCAAACAGG